rnacentral:rRNA from 1 species
GAUGAACGCUGGCGGCGUGCUUAACACAUGCAAGUCGAACGAUGAAGCUCAGCUUGCUGGGUGGAUUAGUGGCGAACGGGUGAGUAACACGUGAGAAACCUGCCCUUAACUCUGGGAUAAGCCUGGGAAACUAGGUCUAAUACCGGAUAGGAGCGCCUACCGCAUGGUGGGUGUUGGAAAGAUUUAUCGGUUUUGGAUGGACUCGCGGCCUAUCAGCUUGUUGGUGAGGUAAUGGCUCACCAAGGCGACGACGGGUAGCCGGCCUGAGAGGGUGACCGGCCACACUGGGACUGAGACACGGCCCAGACUCCUACGGGAGGCAGCAGUGGGGAAUAUUGCACAAUGGGCGAAAGCCUGAUGCAGCGACGCCGCGUGAGGGAUGACGGCCUUCGGGUUGUAAACCUCUUUCAGUAGGGAAGAAGCGAAAGUGACGGUACCUGCAGAAGAAGCACCGGCUAACUACGUG